UUACAUUGAUUAAUUGUUGGCUCCGCCACAAUCCAAAUGUAGCGAAGACACAUGCUCGAGUUCCCAGAUUCCUGAACCCAACUCAGAUCAUUACCGUCACAGUGUGGGUGAUAGCCUUCCACGUCCAGUCUUAUGGCUGAGACGGAUGGGUCACUUAUCACGGAAAGUGUUGCAUGUACUCAACCAGGGUGUUUCAUUAUGACGGUGUGAACAUUGCGUUACGGUAUAUGUCACCUAUGGCGGUUGCAGCCAGGAAAAGGGCUGCCAAUAUUUGAUAACAUAAUUGUCAGAGCUGAUAGUAUUGGGAUAACGAUGACAUUUAUCUUGAUACUACCGGUAUUUAUCUUCACUCGGCAGAGUGCCAGAAUAAUUCUUUCGCAUGUGAACGCUUGAAGAAGUCAGAAGUGCGCGCGGUAUUUGUAGUUUAAUUGUAUUUUCAUUUUAAUUCUAGUAAAGUGGUGUAAAGUAUUAAUAGUGUUUCAUUUUUGUAGAUAACGUUAGGAAAGUAAAAGUUCGAGAUUUAAAAGUUCUUAAAUUACGCAAAAUUGUGUUAGUACGUUUAAUAGUGAUAAAAAAAGCCGAUAGAAAUACGGAAGACAUACACAACAUUUAUACAAAUUAAAACGUUAUAAAAGGUCCUCAACGGGCCUUUUAUUCUUGGGCUUCGAACGUUGUUCGGAGUUUCUUUUCGCAGGCUCACAAUGUCUCGAGCGAGGAGCGACGAUUAAUCCGGAAUUAAGUUCACCGCGAAGGGCAAUUAUAAAACUAUUAAUCGAACGACGUCAUUGUCAUCGGAGAAGCCAUUGUCAUCGAAGACGCCAUUACAAAUUCCAGCGUCCAUGGUCAUUCUCAACGCCAUUACUAGCUCCGGCGCCAUUACCAUCGCUGACGGUUGUCGCGCUAUGAGCUGUCAGGAAAGCCAGAUCACCGAUUACUUCGAGGAAAUAUACAUCCGGGAUCGCCAAACUUUCCCCACCAGACCUGCACCAACAAAAACCGAGCAAAAGCGCAAGUAGAAAAACCCAUAAAGUGACGUCACUAGCUUUAAGUUAAACUCAGUUAGUCAGAAUAAAUGUUGAAAAUGUUAAUUAGGAACCGUUAGCCUAGUUUCUACAUAAUGAGCGAAAUUAGUACAAGUACACCAUUCUUGAUCUCGUUCUCCGGACUCUAAAGGAGUCGCCAUCCCUCGUCUUCGAGUGUUCUCCCAAAGAAGACCUUCUGGUUUCGCCUUUGAGUAAAACUAAAAUAUUGAAUCAACCUUUUGGUUGUCCACCCUGGUUCUCGACGGUUAUCGGUGUUUCGGUUUCAUACGGUUCCCGUUAGAAGUGAGUACCGUGGUGAGUAUAUGCAAGGCUCAAACAAGUAGUAGUGAUUGUGAACAUAAUUUCCCCUCUAACCACCCACUGAGCAAGUCGAGGGGCUACAAAUUGGCGCCCAACAUUAAAAAUCCACA